CACACGGCGAUGCUAACGUCCGUCGUGAAGAGGGAAACAACCCUGACCUCCAGCUAAGGCCCCUAAUUCAUGGCUAAGUGGGAAAGCAGGUGAGACGACCAAAACAACCAGGAGGUUGGCUUAGAAGCAGCCAUCCUUUAAAGAUAGCGUAACAGCUCACUGGUCUAAAUAAGUUGUCUUGCGGCGAAGAUGUAACGGGGCUCAAGCCAUGAGCCGAAGCUGAGGAUGCACUAGUUGCAUGGUAGCAGAGCGUAGUGUGACAUAAUUCCAUGUCUCCUUAACCCUUCGGGGUAUUGGAGACGCGGAGUUUUCUGUGAAGCCGGCGCGUGAGCGAUCCGGUGGAGAGAUCACUAGUGAGAAUGAUGACAUGAGUAGCGACAAAGAGUGUGAGAGACACUCUCGCCGAAAGUCCAAGGGUUCCUGCUUAAAGCUAAUCUGAGCAGGGUAAGCCGACCCCUAAGGCGAGGCCGAAAGGCGUAGUCGAUGGGAACCAGGUUAAUAUUCCUGGGCCAGAUGGAAGUGACGGAUUUCGAGGGUAGUUCAUCCUUAUUGGAUUGAAUGGGCUGCUUAGAAGUCCCUGGAAAUAGCUCCAUCGCUAGAUCGUACCCUAAACCGACACAGG
rnacentral:rRNA from 1 species